AGUGAACGCUGGCGGUAGGCCUAACACAUGCAAGUCGAACGGCAGCACAGUAAGAGCUUGCUCUUACGGGUGGCGAGUGGCGGACGGGUGAGGAAUACAUCGGAAUCUACUUUUUCGUGGGGGAUAACGUAGGGAAACUUCCGCUAAUACCGCAUACGACCUACGGCUUAAAUCAGGGGAUCUUCGCACCUUGCGCGAUUGAAUGAGCCGAUGUCGGAUUAGCUAGUUGGCUGGGUAAAGGCCCACCAUGGCGACGAUCCGUAGCUGGUCUGAGAGGAUGAUCAGCCACACUGGAACUGAGGCACGGUCCAGACUCCUACGGGAGGCAGCAGUGGGGAAUAUUGGACAAUGGGCGCAAGCCUGAUCCAGCCAUACCGCGUGGGUGAAGAAGGCCUUCGGGUUGUAAAGCCCUUUUGUUGGGAAAGAAAAGCAGCAGGUUAAUACCCCGCUGUUCUGACGGUACCCAAAGAAUAAGCACCGGCUAACUUCGUG
rnacentral:rRNA from 1 species